CGGUCCUGUCAGAACUUUAUAACACGUUAGGAACGCGACAUGCCCGUGUUUAAAAAAUGGACAGACGACGAAGGAGACCAGCCUGAAGAACCGUGUUCAUCUGAGGCAUCAGAGAAAAGAAACCGGUAGCCUACUCCUUCCAAGACGCCCCGGUUCUGCCCCAAUCCAUCAACUCCAACCGGUACAAAAACGCGAAGAAGCAUUACAGAGGUAAGCUUGUUAAUACAUUUCUACUUCUUAUGAUAUGACUAUGAGAAUAACCUCGAUUGCCACGUUUCACAUGAGUUAAUAGUUGUCACCCAUUUUCCAUCCACUUGACCUCCACCUGGAACAACUAAACAAUUUUCUCAAAUCAUUUAUGAGAGGCUUAGGACCAAACAUGUCAGAAAUGUCAGCAGCCAGAAUCAGUAGGUCCAUUGGCAUCGUCAAAGAGCUAAUGGACAAAACGGACACAGAGCUGGAGCUGACAAGGCCGGCUGGCAUUCAUCAUGUGGCCCGAGAACAGGAGGACGUUUUAACACUGGUAAACGUUUUUCAGGGAGACAACUUUCCCAACAAAAAUCACCCAGGCAGGCAGUAUCAUGCAUUCCUGGAUUUCAAGAGAAACUUAUUGGCAAAGCUGAAUUACCAGGAGAUGUGGAUGAAGUCCAAAAUAAUGGACUGGCAAAAUGUGCCUAUUUAAAUAAUUAAGUAAAUGUGAAAUGUAAAUGGUUAUGGUAAUUUGUAAAUAUUGUUUUCAUAAAUGACAAUGUAAAUAAUUGUUUUCAUAUAAUAGUUUAGUAGUAUCCACAUUCUUGAAACCA